ACGGAGGGUGCGAGCGUUGUCCGGAAUCACUGGGCGUAAAGGGCGCGUAGGCGGCGCGGGAAGUCAUCGGUGAAAGUUCAGGGCUCAACUCUGAAUCGGCCGGUGAUACUCUCGUGCUCGAGCACUGUAGGGGCAGAUGGAAUUCCCGGUGUAGCGGUGGAAUGCGUAGAGAUCGGGAAGAAUACCAGUGGCGAAGGCGUUCUGCUGGGCCGUUGCUGACACUGAGGCGCGACAGCGUGGGGAGCAAACAGGA
rnacentral:rRNA from 1 species